GCCAGGGAGGACUGGGGAAGGAUUCCAGCUGCCUGAGCUAAGCCAGGAAGGGAAAAUUGGAGUUAGCAAGGCAAGGAAGGUCAUUCCAGGCAGUGGAAACAGAAUGAGCAAAGGCAAGAGAAAAGGCUAUUUGCUUUUGAGCUACUCCGGGAGAGGAGCAGAGUCGGUUUGAGUUGCAUGACUGACAUCUUCUGGCUACAGUGGAUAUUACAGAAAGACUGAAACUCCGCAAAAGUGUGUUUGAAAAAAAGAAAAGCACCCUGGAAUUUGGAUCAUUAAGUUAUACUGAUUCUUCAACUAAAACUUUCUUGGGACUUGUAAUACGAAGUAUCGUAAACAAGGUCAUGCACCACUAAUAAAAGAAAUAUUAUUCGCUUAUUACUCAGAAUGCCUUGGGCUGUCUUUCUGCAUGCAAUCCACUUAAUAAGUAACCCAAUAGCAGACAAGUUCAGGAGAAGGUGCAGGCCUGUCCAGCCAGCAGAGGAAGAGUCAGCUGCCUCCACGACUACACUCCAAAUGGACAUAUUUCAUAUUCUCCCCAUACAGACUGCAUGGCUUGGGUCUACCUGGAAACACCUUAGAAUAGAGAUCUCCCCUCCAUUCCUGGGUUCCUUGGAAACAUGAAGCUACACUCACCACCAACCAUCUGUUCCCAUGUUAAAUAUAAAAUGGAGAAGAAAUUGUCUAUUUUGAAGGGAAGAGAGAGCCAUCAUCUUUUACAAGUGCCAGAGGUAGUUUUGCUUAGUGCUUCCAAGUCCUUUGUAGGCUGAGCACUGAAGUGAAGAGGAUAUGGGCAGGAGCUGCCUAAGAAGAGGAGAUGAAAGAAAGCAGAAGUCCACUAGUGAGGUCUCUAUAAUGCCUCGGUAUCUCCUGCCACAAUCCACAGGCUGCCCUGGGCUCUGGGUCAUC
rnacentral:lncRNA from 1 species